GACGAACGCUGGCGGCGUGCUUAACACAUGCAAGUCGAGCGAUGAAGCUUCUUCGGAAGUGGAUUAGCGGCGGACGGGUGAGUAACACGUGGGUAACCUGCCUCAUAGAGGGGAAUAGCCUUCCGAAAGGAAGAUUAAUACCGCAUAAGAUUGUAGCUUCGCAUGAAGCAGCAAUUAAAGGAGCAAUCCGCUAUGAGAUGGACCCGCGUCGCAUUAGCUAGUUGGUGAGGUAACGGCUCACCAAGGCGACGAUGCGUAGCCGACCUGAGAGGGUGAUCGACCACAUUGGGACUGAGACACGGCCCAGACUCCUACGGGAGGCAGCAGUGGGGAAUAUUGCACAAUGGGGGAAACCCUGAUGCAGCAACGCCGCGUGAGUGAUGACGGUCUUCGGAUUGUAAAGCUCUGUCUUCAGGGACGAUAAUGACGGUACCUGAGGAGGAAGCCACGGCUAACUACGUGCCAGCCGCCGCCGUAACAC
rnacentral:rRNA from 1 species